rnacentral:rRNA from 1 species
AUGGAUACCGAAUGGGAACUAAAAUUUCCUCUGGUAACUGUGCGAUCCCUAGAGCGUAUAGAGGCAUUAUCGGAUCAUGCACCCAUCAUUCUGGAUUCUAACUCUACAAACCCGGCUGCCAGACGUCGUUUCAAAUUUGAAUUGGGUUGGCUGCUCCGGGAAGGAUUUGUAGACAUAAUCAAGAAUGUUUGGGAGAGGCCCGCUGUUGGUCGUACACCUAUUCAGAGAUGGAACUUUAAAAUAAGGGCCAUGAGGCAACACCUCACUGGAUGGGCGAAACAUACCAACGGGAUAUACAAAAAGGAAAAACAACGGCUCUGUACCAUCAUUGACGACCUCGACAAAAUUGCUGAGACGCGCACCUAA